rnacentral:snRNA from 1 species
CUAGAACCCACAAAGGGU